GGGGAAAGGAGGACCCUCACACACCGCUGGUGUGACUGCAAAACGGUGCAGCCACGGUGGAAAGCAGGGCAGUUCCUCAACAGGUUAAAUGUAGGUUUCUUAUAUAAACCAGCAACUCCAGUCCUAGAUAACAGCCAAGAGAACUGAACGUAGGAGCUCAUACACUUGUACACACAUGAUCACAGCAUUUCCGCAAUAGCAAGAAGGUAGGAACAACCCAAUAUCCAUGAGCAGGUGAAUGAACAAAGAACAAUGGGUUUUUCAUAGUUGUACUGUGGAACAUUACUUGGUGACACAAAGGACUGGGAUUCUGACAGAUGCUACAGUAUGGAUGAACCAUGAGAACUUCAGACUAAGUAAGAAAAAGCCAGACACAAAAGACCACAUAGGAUUGUAGGAUCCAUGUAUAAGUUACACCAGAUUGAGUAGAUCUAUACAGACAGAUAUGUGAUUUUCAGGGGUCUUGGGGAAAGGAAUGGGGAUAACUUUUUUUUUUAGUAACAGCUUUAUUUUCAAUAGUCAAAGUAGAGAAAUAAUCGCCCAUAAAAAGAUGAAUAACGGGACUUAAAAAUGACUUGAUGGGUACAGGGUUUCCUUUUGGGGUGAUGGAAAAGUUUUGGAACUAAAUACUGGUUAUGGCUAUACAAUGUGAAUUCCAAUGUCACUGAAUCGUACACUUCUCAGUGGUUAAAAUGGUAAACUUUGUUAUGUGUAUUUCACCAUAUUAAAAAGCAAAACCCACACUCAGAGGGAGGUGACUACACCAGGGGGUGCCACUCAUGGGGCACACUUUAGAGUCUGUCCCCACCAUUUUUAUUCAUGAUACUUUUUUUUACUCUAUUUAUACUUUUUGUCUUUAAAGUCUGCGUGUGUGAUCUGUAUCCUUUAUUUGGAUCAGUUAAGCCACUUAGAAUCAAUGUAGUUAACAUGUUUGGUUUUAUUGAUACCAUGUUAUUCUGGGCUUUCCAUUUGUUACACCCAUUCUCUUUUCCUCUCUAUUUUGUUUUAGGAUAUUUUAGCAUUCUCCUUUUUCCAGUUAGUUUGGAAGUCAUACACUCUGUUUCUAUUAUUGUAUGUUUACCAGCGAAUUUACAACAGGCAUACUUUCACUGAGGUUGGCUGAGUAAUGACCCUAAAGAUCUCCAGUCCCCAGUCCCUGGAACCCGUGGAUGUGACUUCAUACGGCGCAAGGGCUCUGAAGAUGUGGUUAAGGAGGCAGAGAUGGAAAGAGAAUUCUGGAUUAUGCAGGUGGGCCUAAUGUCAUCGGCCCCUGUGGGGGAUUUGACCAAAGAAGGGUAGGUGCCUGUGGCUUGAAGUCAGAGGAAAACGGCCAGGAACCAUGGAGUGUGAUUCUAGAGUCUCGGGAAGCAUGGAGAACUGGCCCUCAGAGCCUCCGGAGGAAGCAGUCCCGCUGCCGUCAGCAUGAUCCCGAAGAUACUGUCUUCCAUUUUUUAACCUCCCUAAGCAUGUUUGGAUGGAAAUGACCUGGUGUCUUCAGUGCCCGAGUCUCCAGGUCUGCGCUGUCCGGUCGGCCUGCUGGGUCUCCCUGCUGGAUGCGUCCUUUGUGUGCCAGGAAGAUUCAAGCCAUUUUAUCCAGCAUUUAGUUGUCUACAAAUCAAAUUAUAGCCUGUCUUCUCAGAUUGGAAAUGGCAGCUCAGAGCAAGCACAGCUUUGGAGCAGGACAGGGCCAAGACCUGAAGAAGGAGCUGGGUAUAUCUGGAGAAAGAGUCUUUACUUAUUUUUCUUUUCCCUGCUAAAGAAAAAUAAAUAAUGACAGAACAAACAGGCAAGUGAUUUCAGUGUUUUGGAUGGACUGGAAGUCUCCUACAGGUCUGUGAAGAAGGGCUGCUGUGGGUUAAUCUGAUGGUGAACACCACAGCAGAAGGCAUAAAAGACACCAAUAGCAACUCACACCGAGGAGUAGAGGCGGAACCGACAUGGACCAUUUUAUUUGCAGGAGUCAAACAAACCACCUGGCAGGGAGUUGCAGAGGGAUGCACACACUGGCCUCCUGCCCGUGAAAAUAACAGAACACAAAAAGCCGUAGCCAUGCCACGUACGCAAGACAUUCCACUUCUACAGAAAUCCCCCCAAGAAAAUAACAGUAUGUUUGUGCAUAGAAUUUCAGCUACACAAAGUGUUAUGCAAAUUAUUUGUAAUAAAGAAAAAGCACUGCUACUUGCCUGAGAUCACAUAAGGCACGGUGACAGCCUCCUGGUCUCCCUCUAGCCCCAUGCCCGUGCAGCGUUGCCUUGGACAUCUAGUGCGUAUUGUUUCCAAGUUUCUUUCAGAUCGUGUCGAUGUAGAAGUGGAUUCGCGCUGUGCUCAUCGACCUGCAGUGUGCUUCGUCACACAAAUGUCCUGGUGUUGUGCAGUGUCCGCCCAGGGGCUGACCUCACUGUCCUGGCUGUGCAGCUUCCCUGUGUAACGCUACUCCAUUUUCUUUCCAUUGAUGAAUGUGUUGCUUGCGCACCAUAUCUUCUUCUUUUCUAUUUCUCUGCUCUAAUAAACAUUUCUGCAAAAAGCGUCAGUGUACAUACAUCCCUGUUUUAUGUAGGGUAAAUUCCCAGAAGCAGGGCUGCAGACUUAAAAGAGACUUUUCCCUCUUUGGAUUUAAAGGAUACAACCAUUGGUGUGCUGGAGCCUUCUUGUAUUGUCUUGUGUUAAAUUUUCAGCAAUUCUACUAGCUGGUUGUUAAAUACAACCACUAUUAAAAAUUAUCUUAAUCUACAAAUUUGUCAUGUCAGAAACAAAGGUAAUAUUAUCACUUCCAAAUUGUUACUACAUUAUAUGCUCUUGCUAUCUUUGUUCAUACCUCUCUUAUAUGAACAGUGUAAGUGCAACACAGUGCAUCUCUUCCUACUUUCCUGUUCAGUGAUAGCACAUUAAUGCAUGAAAUCAACCACGUGGAAACAUGGAAAUUGGCAGAUCUUACAAAUCAGCCCCUUCCCCCUUUUUCCAAGUGCCAGUUAUUAAAGUUACCAGCUCACCCCUGUGUACAACUGGAUUCCCCUCCCAAAAAAAGCGUAUAUGUACUAAGUUACACUUCCACCAGAAGUAGAUUGGAUCUCGCCUUUUUAAUAUUUUUUCGUGGUGGAUGUUUCGUUAAGUUGUAUGUCUGCACACACUGCAGAUGUUGGCCAUUGGUACACUGUGAGUUGCCUGUUUAUCCUUUGGCUUAUUUUGCUACUGGGUUGACUGGGAAAAAAAGGUGGAUGGGAGUAUGAGGAAAAAUAAUUUGGAGGUUUAUCUUGUGUAGCAGACCUAACCCUUUGCCUGACGUUUAUGGCAAAUGUUUUUCUCCCAGUUCCUCUAUUGGCUUUGCUUAAGAUUUUUUUUCUCCCCAUUCCAAGUUUUUAUAUAGUCCAAUGUGUCUACUUUUUCCAGUGUCACUUUGAGAGCACCAUUAAAAAAUUUUUUUAAAGGAAUUUUUGAUAUAAUAUACACUCUUAUGAAGGUUUCACAUGAAAAAACAAUGUGGUUAC